CCUGCAGCGACGUUUUCCUAGUCUGACUCCCUUUCUCAAACCUUUGUAUGACUCCCGCCUCCCCUCCUUCUCCCACCGCCCCCCCCGCCCCAUUCCGUUUUGUUAAGUCCUCACUCAGGAGGUGGAUCGCCCUUGACCUCCCUCCAGGGAGAGCAGAGACGGAAUACAAAGGCAGAAGUAUAUGCAGUUAGUGAGGCAUCAGAACGUUUGGGGAGAAAGAACGACAGGGAUUGCAACAGAGAUUUCAACAGAGCGAGGCCUAACAGUCUGUGAGAGGAAGAAUAGAGAGGGAGGGAAACAAAAUGAUGCGUAUGAACAGAGAGGAGGAAACACAGAAAUGGACACAAAAGGAGAGGAGAGAAACAGAGGACCCAGGGAGACAUAUACAGGAAACAAAGCACGUGGUGGUGGAGAAAGCGGGAACCCAAACCCAGAAUCAUCUUACCUGAAGAAUCUAACAAGAAAUUCAGAGGAGGAGGAAAGAAGAAGGAAUGGAGCUUUCACAGGGACUGUUUAUGUUCAAGGAUGUGGCCACAGAAUUCUCUCAGGAGGAGUGGGAAUGCCUGGACCCUGCUCAGAGGGCCUUGUAUAGGGACGUGAUGGUGGAGACCUACAGGAACCUGGUCUCCCUGGAUUCAAAAAAUCACUGACAAGAUAUCAAGGAGCUUACUAUGCUUUCUUCUAGGAGUUUUUUUUUUCAGGAAGCCAUUCUGCUAGACUUGCAAUCAAGGAAUUAACACCAAGAGAAAGACACUGAUAAAGGAGAAUUAUGCCAUGUAGUGGUACUGGAAAGAAAUCAAAACCAUGGCAUCAAGGAUUUUGACCUCGAGGAAGUCUGUGCAGAUGUGCAGGAGUGUGAGAGUGAGUGGGGCUACGAUGCAAGAAAUGACGAAGAAGUGCUUUUGACUCAUAACAAAAAUCUCAGAGAGAAGAUCAAGAUAAUAAGUCCUUAAUUAAUUUUCCUCAGAGUGUUUCUGUACGAAGUAAUGCACGUGAAUAUUUCACACACGACAAGCCAUCCAUAAGAAGUUUGUUAACAACGAAAAAUAACGUCAGCGAGAGUUCCUCCUAGU